UUCUCCAUGUUAAAAGUCCACCAAUAAUAUUUUAUCCCUGUAACAUCAAUCAACAAUUCAUGUCCACAAUCAUAUGAAUAACUCAUAAUCAUAAUUGUGAUUCUAAAUUCCUCUUCGCACCCAGGACGAAGAUAAUUUUCAUCACCUAUCUUCACCUAAAACAUCAAAAAUCAUGGUUAUACCAAAUCACAAUUCCUGCUCAUAAUCAAACUAAUAAAUUCAUCUUUGCACUAUGGCCAAAGAUAUUCAUUAAUAAUUCAUCUUUGCACUACAUGUCAAAGACAUACAACUGUAUUUUAGAAGAGUCAAGUAGAGCAUGAUAUCUACUAUCUUUUAUGAAUUAAAAGUUUAUAAUCAAUAUUUUAUCGCUGAGACUCAGCUUAAUAAAUAAUCCACAUCAUCAAAUCAUCCCUGCACUACGGCCAAGGAUAUUCAUGUAAUCAUCAAUAGUCAUGAUUAUACCGAAUAAUCCCUGGUUAUAAUCAUACCAAUAAAUGUCCUUAAUGCAUUACGGGCCAAUGAGGACUUUUACCACAUCAUCUAUAACAUUACGGGUCAUGAUUAUAUCGAAUGAUCCCUGGUCAUAAUCAUACNNNNNNNNNNNNNNNNNNNNNNNNNNNNNNNNNNNNNNNNNNNNNNNNNNNNNNNNNNNNNNNNNNNNNNNNNNNNNNNNNNNNNNNNNNNNNNNNNNNNUGGUGGUUGAUCAUGUCCAUAUAUAUAUAUAUAUAUAUAUAUAUAUAUCGCUUUUAUAUAUUUACAUUUCCGAUCCCCCAUGGAGUUGCUUCAUGGUGGUUGAUCCUGUCUAGGAGUGAUCAUUCGGUUAGAACCGAAAACCAAAAUAAUGCUAAUUUUACUAUCCGAACUAAUAACCAAAAUUUCAAAAUAGCCGAAUUACUGAAUACCGAAUUACCGAAUUGUAAUUUCGGUAAUUCGGGUAAAAACCGAAUCACUGUCCAGCAAGUGGUACUGUUUAACAUCAGAGAAAAAAUUAAUCAGAGAAAAAAUGGAGAAACCUGACGACAUAAAGGAAAACAAGCAGUCAAGGUAGCAGAGGAGGGUGAAUUUUUUUUUUAAUUUUUUAACCCCCAAAGUCUAACAGGCUGAGAGGAAAAAGUGAAGGACUACCAAAAUUACAUAUCAUCAAGCCCAAGUGGGGCUUUAGAUUGUUCAAAUUUCUUCUCAGAUACUCCUUACCGAGGCACCAACCGGCACAAGAAAUCACCACCAAAUAGACAACUUCAACAGCAAACUUUAUGUACAUCUUAGAUCACAAGACAACAAGAAAGCAGUAAAGGGGCUAAACAUCAAAAGAUAACCAUACAAACAAAUAUCUUAUUUUCCUCCAAUGAAUACCUUCACAAUCUGCUAACAGACUUUGAUUUGACAAGGAAGAUAUUCAUAACGCAAAGAAACAGGCUACAGAUAAUCCUAUGGCUCCUGCUGGAGAGUCUGGAGUAGCUUAAACAAAACAAUUUUAAACAUAUAAGAUUCUAAAGCUGUGAAGCAAGAUGAAGAUUCUCAAUUUCUCAGAUCUGAAGCCAACUGCCCGACUCGGUCGGUCACUUAGGAGGAGAGAGGAAUACUUAGGACUUUAGGAUCUGGACUCUACUCUAGAGUGGAGUACUGGAGUUAGGCAGUAAGGCACUUAAGUUAGGAGUUAGAUAAUAAUAAUAUUAUAAAAUUAAUAUUUUAGAGAAUGAAGGUUCGGUUAUUCGGAUAUCCGAAUAACCAGUUUUUUGAAAACCAAAACAGUAACCGAAUACUGAAAUAUAAUUCGGAUAUAACCGAAAUUGUAAAAAAUACCGAAAAACUGAAAUAAUUCGGUUAAAAAAUUUCGGUUCGGUUCGGUAGUUCGGUUUUAUCCGUUUUAUGCUCACUCCUAAUCCUGUCUGUAUAUAUAUAUAUAUAACUGCUUAAUGUUUUCCAUACAAAUUGCAGUAUCAUGUGAGCCUAGGAAUCAUGUGAUCACAGGUUCAGUUUACUGAAUCUAGAUUCGGUUCCUAUGAUGGACAUUUUUCAGCUGUAAGCAGCUUGUACAUUAUUUUACAGUGUCUGAAUUUCCAUGGAUGGCUGUCAUGCCCAUGAGGAGUUCGGCACUGCUGUAUAUUAUUUUCUCGAGAAUGCUUUGCAUCUCGAAAAUAAAAGCAAACAAGCCUUACAUUUAAUAAUAAAAUAGAAGUAUAAAAAUGUCUCAAUUCCUAUUGAGCACGGGGUUUGAAAAAUCUCUUUUACAAAACGUCAUUGCUAUAUCUUGGUUAAAACUGAAUUUUUCUAUAAAAUUCAAACCUUGCGUAUAUAGGUGCGAACGAGGCCUCACGCUACUUUCAAAUAAUUGCACAUUGAUCCACACACACACACACACAUUCAUAUAAUAAUUUCUUUGAAAAGUGGCGGUCACCGUGGUAACACGGAUGUCGGGGGGUGCCUAACACCUUCCCUCCGCAUAAUCAAGCCCCCGGACCCAAAAUGAAUCUCGGUUUCACAGACCCGUCUAGCAGUGUCAAAACACUGGGUCAAUGUGCAAACCUUUUCGGUUGCGUUGGUGCAACCAGUUAAAUAAACCAACUGGCGACUCUUAAAGUCAAAUCGUCGACAUUAUACAUGUCGGACCUUUUUCACUUGUUUUUUCAAACACAUCUCACAUUAAUAUGAGAACACCAAAGAACAAGUAACGAAAAGGGACACUCAAAAAUCCCGACGUCGACAGGUGGUGACUCUGCUGGGGACUCCAGUAAGAGGGCUUAAGCCGCUAUUACAAGCUUUUCAAAAUUGUUAUAUGCUUGUGUAUGAAUGUUGCAUUUACUUUUCUGAUGAAUGUGUAUGAAUGCAUCUUAAUUACUGCACUGUUAAAUAUCUAUCUGUGAUAUUAGUGCUUCGCACAUGUCAUCAUUUUGCAUAAACGGUGAGACACGUUGUAUGUGAAUGUAUGUUGUGUGGUCCCUCCACCAGGAGGCUAUCCUAUCGGUGUUUGAUUACUGGACUCGUGGGAAGAAUAAUUCCCCGAGGCUCAGGAAAGGCACCACUCAAAUUCGCUCCAGUUGAACGACCGGAUUAACUUCCCGUCAAGUAGAUUACGAUGAUCUGGGAACCUUUAGGCCAAAAAGCCGCAAGAGUAACCUAAGAUAGGUCAGCCUCUGAUAAACCAAAUGCGAAGGGAAGUCUCUUCAUACUUUCCCAUUUAAAAUUUCAAUUACUUGUCAAUUUCAAUGUAAAGGAAAAUAUGAAGAAUAUAUGUAAAUGCAUAUUAAGGCUUUACAUGCUAUUAAAUGACACCCAUUUUGCAGGAUAAUAUUCCUAAAAUGGACACGUUAUGAUAGCAUGUAAAAUUUUAUACAUUUCCCUAAGACUAAACUACAUAAGUUUUUGUAGGGAAGAAAUUGAUCCCGUUUACCGUUCAAAGACCAAAAGGGCAUUAAGGCCACAGUCAGAUAUGGAUAAAAGUGCCCAACCUGAUCCAACUUCUGUCUCUUACGAAGAGUUCAAAAAAUUAAGCUAUCAAAUGACAGAGUUGGCUGUUAUGCUCAAAGAACUACACCAAUCUAUUCAGGGUCCACAAAUACCCAUCCACACAGAAUCCUCUGCACAUGGAGGAAUCCAAGGCCAAACAAUGCCUACUCAACCAGAGUCAUCCACACCAGGAGGCAAUCAGGGUAUUGGCAAAAAGAUGGAAACCCAGAUAUCUGAACCUCAUUCCAAUAAAGAAAUCACAAAUCUCAGGGAUGAUCGAGAAAUUAGGGAUAUAAGAAAGAAAGUCCAACAAAUGGAGGAGACCAUCCGGUCAAUCAAAGGGACUAGAAAUUAUGGGAGUGUCACCUAUUCAUAUCUUUGCAUAUUCCCAGGGGCGCACUAUCCUACCAAAUUCAAAGUCCCAGAGUUUAAAAAGUACAAUGGGGAAUGCGAUCUCUAUACGCACCUGAAAGUGUACAUUGGCGAACUAGGAUCUUAUGCUAAAGAUGAAAGCCUCAGAAUGCAACUUUUCCAAAAGAGUCUCACUAGAGAGGCUAAAGCCUAGUGCCCAACUUGACAAUGCCAAAAUCCACAACUGGGAAGAAUUGGCCCACGCCUUUCUAAAUCAGUACAAUUUUCAGUCACAAAUGGCACCUGAUCGAUACCAAGUGACUAAAGUAAAAAAGCAAAAUACUGAAUCUUUUCGAGAAUAUGCCCAAAGGUGGAGACAUCUACCAGCGCAAGUUAUUCCAUCAAUGACAGAAGCUGAGAUGGUGAUGACGUUUAUUGAUAUCCAAGAGGCUCCGUACUACGAGAGGAUCCUAGCAGGCAUAGGAAAGCCAUUCUCGGAAAUGAUCAAACACGGCAAAAUGGCAGAGAUGGGCCUUAAAGCAGGCAAGAUUAAAGACUUCACUGCCUUGGAAGCAGUCGCCAAGCAUAUACAGACGGGCAAGUAUGCGAGUGAUCCUAAGGGUGUACCCGAUAAAGGCAAUGAAGAUGUAUCCCUUGUUUUACAGGGGCAAGUUAGGAGACCAACCUACAGUCCCCCUAUUCGGAAAAUACAAGACAAUCUGCCAUCUCAACAACAGGCUGCGUUUAACCAAUACCCAGAUAGGAAAAGAAAAUUUGAAAGAACGGAAAAUUGGGUGUUCACUCCACUAGGCGAUUCCCUUGAACAUGUCUUGGCGAUAUUAAUGGAUCACAAGAAAAUUACCGAACUGGCUCCACCUCUAGAACCAAGGAGCAAAGGAUAUAAUACAAGCCAAAGAUGUGCUUACCACUCAGGGUCUCCAGGACAUGAUACAGAAGAUUGUUGGUCCUUAAAGCAUAAAAUCCAAAAUCUGAUCGAAAGUGGCAGAAUUGUGUUUCAGCAACCUGAUCAACAGAAUGUCAACACCAACCUUCCAUUGCAGCAUGAUAUAGGGGAAGUAAACAUGAUUGGGUCAGGAAGCGUUGAAAUGUAUCCAAUUCGUAAGUGCAUACGAAGGAUAGAGGACUACCCCCAAAGGCAUAUAACAAAUGUCCUAAAGUGGGAAAACUCGGAGGAAGGUAUCAUAGUAAUGCAAAAAUUAGAGACGAUCCAGAACCAAGUAAAUCUGCUAGCUAAGCUGAUAGUACGCCAGCAUCAGGAUACAAGGCAUUUCUUCACUCAACUAUCAGAAGGCCAAGAAAAGGGGGAUGAUAAAAUUGCUAGCAGACCUCGCCAACGGAAAAAUCUCUUAGGGGAAUGCGAACUCUCAAAGAAGAAAGAUCAAACAACCUCCACAAGAGUCCAAAAAUUCACCCCUCUAAGCAAAUCCAAUAGAGAAAUGCUACACUUUCUGAUGAGCGAAGGAAGGAUUACUGAGUUGCUACCUCCUGUAAAUCCCAAGAUACAGAGCUAUGAUUCCACCAAGAUAUGUCUCUACCAUUCUAACUCACUUGGACAUACGACUGAGGAAUGCUGGGCUUUGCGACAUAAAAUCCAGGAUUUCAUUGAAAAUGGAGAGCUGGAGAUAGAAAUUCCCAUGACCAAAAAAGGCGAAAAGGCAAUAAAAAGCUUAAGAUGUCCACUUGAGAUAGGCAGCUCAAAUGAGGUGAAAACUAUGAGCGAUAAUCCUGGCAGAACACAAGAUGGAGCGAUCCUAAUGCAGGAAAUGAUAAAAGAGACAAGGGAAUCCCCGAAGGAGGUUCCUCCACCAACAUCCAACAUCCUGUGGUCCAAGGAUAACACCCACGUUCCUGAUUUUAUCACCUUGGAUGAUGCAGAGGAAAUACUAAUCCUUUCUAAGGAAGAAAAAGCAAAAAAUGAAAGUUUCUUGCAAGAAAUGCGACAACAGUUCGAGGGAGAUUUCAUGGUCGAAUCCUCUCAAGCCCAGGAAAAGCGUGAAGGAACAGAUGAAGAAAAAGGUGGUGAGGUUGUUAGGGAAACCAACCCAUCAAAGAAUCAAGAUUUCAUACCUUUUUGUGAUGGGUCCAGCUCAAGCAUACCUGAGGAAUGUACUGAACCAGGAAGCGAUCAAGUUAUGACCAUAAGUGAAGACAUUUAAAACCAAGAAGUAACCUCUGUCGCGAGCCUUGAAGGCAACACAGCCACUGACGACUGGACUAUCAGGCCUCAACUAGCCAAAAAGAUGUAGAUCCAGGGGAUAAAGUUGCGAGUUCCAGAAGAUGUUGGGACAGUAUCACUUCUUUCGCAGUAUGCUUUUUAUUUUCCAUGCAUGUAUAGAAAAAAAAAAGAAAAAAAAAGAAAAAAAAGAAGAAAAACAACAAAAGAAAAAAAUCAAAAAUCAAAAAUCAAAAAUAAAAAAUAAAAAAAAAUCAAAAAAAAUUAAAAAUCAAAUCAUUCAGGUUUCAGCUCAUCAAGCCUGAACUACGAAAGACCUGAUCUCCCCUCAUUAAUGGGAGUACAUAGGCAGCCAUUUAUGGUGCGGUCAAACUAAACACUUCUCAAACCAAACACUUCCCAAACCAAACACUUCUCAAAUAAACGCUUCUCAAACAAACACUUGUCAAACUGUUUAUCUUAUCAAGUAGGAACGAAGCAUACCUGAUCUCCCACACUCACGGGAGUACGUAGGCAACCACCAGUGGUGCGGUCUGACCCUCAACAGAAAUGUCCAAAUCCAAAUGUCGAUCCCAAGAACGACCCUCCAAGUCAGCGACCUAUGUGGAGAAUACCCAACAACACUGCAAUGUCAUUCCAUCAAAUCUGGAACAAAUCCCAGAAAGGAAGAAAUAGCGAUAUGCCAAGACAACCAGCAACGAGGAUCUUCAAAGAUUCGACACCCUUAAUCACGAGUCUUCAUCAAAUCAGAAGAAAAUCAAGACCGAUUGCAAUAACAAGUCAGGAAUAAUGAUUGAAGGCAUCAAAACCCAAGUCCUAUACUUGUUCACCAUCUGGUACAGAAGAAAAGCCUCUUGCGAUCUCAUCAUCUUAUCAGCGCAUCUGUCAAAGCGACUAUACCAGACAACAAGCAAGGCUGUGGCAAUUUUAAAAUCGACUACAACCCGAUAUUGCGACCACUACAACAAGACUUGGGCAAUCUCGAAAAACAGCAGCAACUCAACACUGGGGCAUUUAUCAAACAUCCUAAAGAGGAAAAUGCCCCAGUCAACACCAUCAGCAUAGUCCAUCAUCAUCAAAGCUUCCCUCACAUCAGCUCAUUAGCGAUUUGGAUAUUACUCACUCGCGACUUCAUCAACAAAGAGAGUUUCUCGUAUGAAUCCCCGACAUCAGUAUGCAAAAGGACUGGGGCAUUUUUUGAUUCCAGGAAAGCGAAGGAUUUUAAGGCGGGAUAAUGCCUCUCAUCAAAAGAAGGAAAACUCCUGAAAGAAAUCAUGGCGACAUUAGCGUGCCCCUACGAAAGUAGGGGAAAAUUCUAAAAAAGUUCUUAACUCAAGGCCAAUGAUAAAAAGUCUGGCGAAUGAAAUCUACACCGACAAAUGUGUUAAUUUGCGUCAAAUCCUCAUAAAUUGAGGCCUCUAUACUAAAGUUCAAAAGUUCGACAGUAAAAAAGUGAGCUGCACCCUCCAGGGAUAUCAAUGGCAUUCAGGUCAUCAGUUCAGUCGGGUUGCGAAUCAAAUAUUCAAGAAAAUGGGGCACCAUCACCCAACAGCGAAAGGAAACUCCAAAUCACUCAAAAAGGGUGAAGCGCUACAUCAACGUACAUUUCUAUCAAGCGUAACAUCAGGCAGAGUCUGGCAAAGUGAACCUUUGAAUAUUACUUCAGCGAAGGUAUCGGAAGAUCCGAUAUUCAAAACCAUUAUCUUCAAAUUCAGCGCAACAUCAAGACAGUUCAGUGAUGAAAGUUUUGAAUACCACCAUUCGAGUGAGAACCGAAACAAUUGGGCGAUAACAGCGUGUUCAACUACUAACAGGGUAAGCACCGUUGUAAACUACCAGCGUAUACAUCGGGAAGGUCUGGUGAUUUCAGAACGUCAUCCCCAUCAAAGAUGUGGAAAACAUCUCAACUUAUCUUCAUCAAAUAAGCGUCAACGAUUAAAUGCUAAACCAUUGGAAUUAACACCAGUAUAGGCAUCAACAAUGAUCGGUAAAGGUAAAGCGAUUUGCAAAAACAUUUUAAUCAUGCAUCAUAACAUUCAUUGCGAUUUGCGAUUUGCAAUCUGCGAUAUGUGAAAUACGAUGUACGAUUUGCGAAGUGCGAUUGGCCAAAUGCGAAAAGCGAAAUGCGAAGUACAAAAUGCGAUGUGCGAUUUGCGAACUACGAUUUGCAAAAACAUUUUAACAUUCAUCAUAACAUUCAUUACAUUGCGAUUUGCAUCAUUAAGAGUACCUUGUCAUAUUUCAAGUGUCUACUAAUCUUUAUCAUGUCCAUUCAAGUGCAUUGCAUGAACAUGAUAAAGAGGGGCAUCUGUAGACACUCAAAAUUUUCUUUUCCUGUUACUAACUAUGCAUGAGGGCAAAAAUGUCUUUUUCAUACUCCAGAGGUAACCCUGGAGGACUACAACAUCAUUUCCCGACCCCGGAGUUAACCCCGAGAGGUCAAGAUAACCUCAGAGAUAACCCUAAGUACAUUCAGAGUCAACAACAUGACCAUCUCAGAGAUAACCCUGGGAGGGGAAAAAUGGUCAUUUUGCCAAAUCAACUUCAUUUCAAAUCAAAUACACUCAUGUUAACUCAAAUUGAUUCAAAAUUGGCCCCACAAGACUCAUAUCUUAACUUCAGAGCGAAAACUACGUGAAACAGCUCACCGGAUUGCCUGACGGGAACCCGAGAAUGCUAUUUCGGUCAUGGACCCAUCUUCCUGGAGUCAAAAAGGGCAAAUCCCAUGUCAUUGCAUAACUCUCAAAAAAAUCAGUCCAAAGAUGGUCUUGUACACCUCGUUCGAAUGCUCGGAUUGAAGUUCUGCAAGUACGAGCUAACAUUACAUUGCACGAGUGUACGUACUUCGAGACCAUGGGACCCGUGGAACCCCAGGUAAUUCGGGCAGUUGCAGGUGUAACAGAGGCUGCUGCAGGUACACCUACUGCAAUCAGUUCUAUAAAUAUGGGGCUUGGGCUAGCCAUUUUGGGAGAGAAAAUAGCGAGGAAGCCCUGUCCAAUUGGCUUUAUAUACCCCAUAAACUGAGUGUUGUCUUAUUUCAAACAGUUUUGAGCUUAUAUUUUGUCAUAUUUUUACCGACGGGAGCCGAGUAUUCAUCCAUCUAAAGUCAUAGAAGUCUACAUUGGCAGGCCACUGUAAGCCUUCUCACAUUCUAUAAAACCUUCUUCUCAUAUUAGCACACAUUGUUAUACACAUUGAGAGUCGUGUUGUGUGCGUUUGCCCGGACUUCGGUCCGUGGUUUCCAUUUAUGUCUGUAUAUAUAUACUUAUAUAUGCAUAUAUUUCAUAUAUGGACUAACAUUAUCGAGUUAUGCCUCGAUUAAGCCUAGACUUCGGUCUGGAGCGUUUAUUGCUUUUAUAUAUAUAUAUAUAUAUAUAUACUUAUAUAUAUAAUUGUUGUCAGACAUAUCUGAUGAGCCUGGAUUUUACAUCCGGAGCAUUUACUCGCUUAUAUNNNNNNNNNNNNNNNNNNNNNNNNNNNNNNNNNNNNNNNNNNNNNNNNNNNNNNNNNNNNNNNNNNNNNNNNNNNNNNNNNNNNNNNNNNNNNNNNNNNNNNNNNNNNNNNNNNNNNNNNNNNNNNNNNNNNNNNNNNNNNNNNNNNNNNNNNNNNNNNNNNNNNNNNNNNNNNNNNNNNNNNNNNNNNNNNNNNNNNNNNNNNNNNNNNNNNNNNNNNNNNNNNNNNNNNNNNNNNNNNNNNNNNNNNNNNNNNNNNNNNNNNNNNNNNNNNNNAUAUAUAUAUAUAUAUAUAUAUAUAUAUAUAUACCGCUUUUAUAUAUUUACAUUUUCAAUCCCCCAUGGAGUUGCUUCGUGGUGGUUGAUCCUGUCUGUAUAUAUAUAUUUAUAGCUUUUAUAUAUAUAACUGCUUACUGUUUUCCAUACAAAUUGCAGUAUCAUGUGAUCACAGGUUUAGUUUACUGAAUCUAGAUUCGGUUUCCAUGAUGGACAUUUUUCAGCUGUAAGCAGCCUGUACAUUAUUUUGCAGUGACUGAAUUUCCUUGGAUGGCUGUCAUACCCAGUUCGGCACUGCUGUAUAUUAUUUUCUCGAGAAUGCUUCGCCACUCGAAAAUAAAAGCAAACAAGCCGAACAUUUAAUAAUAAAAUGGAAGUAUGAAAAGGUCUCAAUUCCUAUUGAGCACAGGGUUUGAAAAACCUCUUUUACAAAACGUCAUUGCUAUAUCUUGGUUAAAACUGAAUUUUUCUAUAAAAUUCAAACCUUGUGUAUAUAGGUGCGAACGAGGCCUCACACUACUUUCAAAUAAUUACACAUUGAUCCACACACACACACACACACACACACAUUCAUAUAACAAUUUCUUUGAAAAGUGGCGGUCACCGUGGUAACACGGAUGUCGGGGGGUGCCUAACACCUUCCCUCCGCAUAAUCAAGCCCCCGGACCCAAAAUGAAUCUCGGUUUCAUAGACCCGUCUAGCAGUGUCAAAACACUAGGUUAAUGUGCAAACCUUUUCGGUUGCGUUGGUGUAACCAGUUAAAUACACCAACUGGCGACUCUUAAAGUCAAAUCGUCGAUAUUAUACAUGUCGGACCUUUUUCACUUAUUUUUUCAAACAAAUCUCACAUUAAUAUGAGAACACCAAAGAACAAGUAACGAAAAGGGACACUCAAAAAUUCUUACGUCGACAAUACUAUGACAAUAAUUGAAUCAAUAAUAUGAGAGAUAUGAUGCAGUAAUUUCUGUAGAAAUAAUUGAGUAUAACUGAGUGACUUCUUACAUAAGCAUCAAUCAUUAAUACCGUGUGCUACUAUGCAACCACGCGUAUUACUGUACUUUUACUACCGGGUAGUUCAACAGUUUUAACGGUAACACUUUCGCCAUUAUUUUUAUAAAAUGAUAAUACUAUCAUUUUCUAAAUACGACAAUACUUCCGUUGUGGGUUCACCAAUGAUUGUGCCAUCGUACGGAUAUUCCCCGACAAAAAGAACAUUUUAUAUCAACUUGCUUACUUUGCAAAAUUUUCAAAUAUCACCUUUAACUUUAACCUUUAUCAAUUUAACCAUUUACUAAAUAACAUAAUAAUUAUAAGAAAAUUGAAUACUUUCAUUUCAUAAAAUUCGGGGUCUCACAAUCUCCCCUCCUUAUGAAAUUUUGCCCUCGAAAUUUACGUACGUACCUGGUAUUCGAAGAGAUGAGAAUACCUUGCUUUCUUUUCGAAUUGUACCUUCCCGGUUAUUUCCUUUGUAUCAUGAUUUUCCCAUUACUCAUCUCAUGUAUUUCAUAUAUCAUUCUAGAAUAUAUCUUCAAAACAAAGGUUAAUUGACAUAUCACAAUUUGUCAACUUAUCAAGUAAACAAUUUCAGCUUAGGUAAGUCACACACUAGCGAAGUGUAUAACUCGUCUCUCCCCUCCUAGUUCUAGACUCUUAUCUCCGCCAGCAACUAUAUCCCUAAGCUCUGAUAUCAUUUGUGACGCCCCCAAAAUAUGUCCACAUGACCCAUUCUGAGUAACCAGAUAUCGCACUAUAAAAAUCAAAUAUAAACUUCAUUUAUAUAACUGUUGAACUGUCGUGCAGAGUACGACAACAGAUAAGCUGUGAGUUUUAAUACAAAUGUAUGUAACUCUCAUGGUGCCUCGACCACAACCUUACAAUGGUACUUUACAUAAAAGUACAAUCAAAAACUAUUUUAGAAAUUAAAAUCUUUGGGAAGUGCUCAAGGAAACCUUCGGAAAUGGGAGGCCAUGCGUCUAGGUUAUGAUAGAUAUCAUAUAUCCANNNNNNNNNNNNNNNNNNNNNNNNNNNNNNNNNNNNNNNNNNNNNNNNNNNNNNNNNNNNNNNNNNNNNNNNNNNNNNNNNNNNNNNNNNNNNNNNNNNNNNNNNNNNNNNNNNNNNNNNNNNNNNNNNNNNNNNNNNNNNNNNNNNNNNNNNNNNNNNNNNNNNNUAAAGAUAAUUUACAUCAUCAAUAGCCUUCAUCAGUAAUAAAUCAGAGAUUUAGGACAUAUGGUAGAUGAUAAAACUUUUCAACCAUAGUUGCAGCGGAACGAACAAUCCAUUAGAAGAGUCAAAUAGACCAUCAGGUCUAUUAUCUUCUCCAUGUUAAAAGUCCAAUAAUAAUAUUUUAUCCAUGUAACAUCAAUCAACAAUUCAUGUCCACAAUCAUAUGAAUAACUCAUAAUCAUAAUUAUGAUUCUAAAUUUCUCUUCGCACCCAGGACAAAGAUAAUUUUUAUCACCUAUCUUCACCUGAAACAUCAAAAAUCAUGGUUAUACCAAAUCACAAUUCCUGUUCAUAAUCAUACUAAUAAAUUCAUCUUUGCACUACGGCCAAAGAUAUUCAUUAACAAUUUAUCUUUGUACUACAGGCCAAAGACAUACAACUGUAUUUUAGAAGAGUCAAGUAGAGUAUGAUAUCUACUAUUUUUUACGAAUUAAAAGUUUAUAAUCAAUAUUUUAUCGCUGAGACUCAGCUUAAUAAAUAAUCCACAUCAUCAAAUCAUCCCUGCACUACGACCAAGGAUAUUCAUGUAAUCAUCAAUAGUCAUGAUUAUACCGAAUAAUCCCUGGUUAUAAUCAUACCAAUAACUGUCUAUUAAUGCACUACGGGCCAAUGAGGACUUUUACCACAUCAUCUAUAACAUUACAGGUCAUGAUUAUAUCGAAUGAUCCCUGGUCAUAAUCAUACCAAUAAACAGUUCAUCUAUGCACAUAAGC
rnacentral:lncRNA from 1 species